rnacentral:rRNA from 1 species
AUGUCGGCCGCCCUAAAUUUGAUGCCUUUUCUGGUUCGCAGGGAGGGACUUGGUCGGGUGCUUUCGUUCUCCAGCCAGCUCAGGAACAAUGGCGGUGGUCUCCUGUUUUCAGGGGCCAUAACUAUAACUACAGUUUUAACUGAUGCGAUUAAGGAUGGUGUUGGUCGGCCACGUCCAGAUUCCUUUUGGCGCUGUUUUCCUGUCAGAGUAUCCUUCACACAUAGCAAUACUAUUCUCAUUAGCUCAUCCAUGGCAAUACCGUUCUAUGCACUAAUCGGCAAUGACACAACUCCACAUAGCGAGUACUAG